CCUCCUUGGCAGUGACUGGGCAUGCAGUCCCACUCCUUGUUAUGUAUGGAGGCAGAAGGAAAGGGCUCAGGCCCCCUCAGUGUCAUGUCUUCAGUGCAAGCAGCUUCCUGUCCGCCAGUUCUAUCCUCAAGCACUGGGACCAGG